AGUAGUACGAGGAAGGUGGGGAUGACGUCAAAUCAUCAUGGCCCUUACGGCCUGGGCUACACACGUGCUACAAUGGUCGGUACAAAGGGUUGCCAAGCCGCGAGGUGGAGCUAAUCCCAUAAAACCGAUCGUAGUCCGGAUCGCAGUCUGCAACUCGACUGCGUGAAGUCGGAAUCGCUAGUAAUCGUGAAUCAGAAUGUCACGGUGAAUACGUUCCCGGGCCUU
rnacentral:rRNA from 1 species